GGGCAAGAUAUGCAGGGCGCACGGCGGAUGCCUUGGCGCAGGGAGACGACGAAGGGCGCGGCAAGCCGCGAUAGUCCCGGGGGAGGCGCACACGGCCACGGAUCCCGGGGUACCCGAAUGGGAGAACCCGACGGCAGAGGUGCCGUCAUCCCCCCUCCGAACACAUAGGAGGGGGGAGGGCAACCCGGGGAACUGAAACAUCUAAGUACCCGGAGGAAGAGAAAUCAAUAGCGAGAUCCCCCGAGUAGCGGCGAGCGAAAGGGGGCCUAGGGCAAACCGGUGAGCGCACGCGGGCGGCAGCCUUCGCGCCACCGGGGUUGCGGGGCGGAGCGUCGGGGUCCUGCCGGGCCCCGCGGCGCCCCGGCGAGGCGGGCGGAACGGCCUGGGACGGCCGGCCGCAGAGGGUUACAGCCCCGUACGCGAAGCCUCGACCGGGAGCCGGACUCCCACCCCGAGUAGGGCCGGGCACGGGGUACCCGGUCCGAAGCUGGGUGGACCACCAUCCAACCCUGAACACUCCCCUGCGACCGAUAGCGCACAAGUACCGUGAGGGAAAGGUGAAAAGCACCCCGGGAGGGGAGUGAAACAGCACCUGAAACCGUGCGCCCGCGAGCAGUCGGAGCAGCGUAUGCUGUGACGGCGUGCCUUUUGUAGAAUGAGCCAGCGAGCCACCGGUGCGGGGCGAGGUUAAGCUUGGAAGCGAGCCGCAGCGAAAGCGAGUCCGAACAGGGCGGUAAGUCCCGCGCCGUGGGCGCGAAGCCGGGUGAGCUAUCCCUGGGCAGGCUGAAGCGGGGGUAAGACCCCGUGGAGGGCCGAACGCACGUCGGUUGAAAACGGCGGCGAUGACCUGGGGAUAGGGGUGAAAGGCCAAUCAAACCCGGAGAUAUCUCGUUCUCCCCGAAAUAGCUUUAGGGCUAGCGUCGGGGGUUCACCGCAGGAGGUAGAGCACCGGACAGGUGAGGGGGCUUCGCCGCCUACCGAUCCCGACCGAACUCCGAAUGCCUGCGGCCCACACCCCGGCAGUCAGAGCAUGUGGGCUAAGCUGUGUGCUCGAGAGGGGAACAGCCCAGACCGCCCGCCAAGGCCCCCAAUUCCAGGUUGAGUGGCAAAGGAUGUCCGUCUGCGCAGACAGCCAGGAGGUUGGCUUAGAAGCAGCCACCCCUUCAAAGAGUGCGUAACAGCUCACUGGCCGAGUGGACGGGCGCCGACAAUACACGGGGCUAAACCUGGAGCCGAAGCGGCGGAUUCGGAGCGUAUGCUCCGUCUGGUAGGGGAGCGUCCCCGGCAGGGGCGAAGCGGAGGGGCGACCCUCCGUGGACCGCCGGGGAGCGAGGAUGCUGGCAUGAGUAGCGAGAGACGCGAGGGUAACGCGUCCGCCGUGAACCCGAGGUUUCCUGGGCGAGGCUAAUCCCCCCAGGGUCAGUCGGGGGCUAAGGCGAGGCCGGCAGGCGUAGCCGAAGCGCAGCAGGCAGACAUUCCUGCACCGCGCGACACCGCUUGACCGAUGCGGCGACGGAUGGGGGUGGCUCGGCGGGGUUCUGGACGUCCCCGUGAUGGAGCGCGGCCCGAGGCGGAGGGAAGUCCCCGCCUCACGAGGGUUAGGCUCCGGACGAAGCGACUGAGCGAAGCGAGUGAGCCCGUGGUCCCUAGAAAAACCGCUAGGAAGGUGCAUCGCGCGCCCGUACCGCAAACCGACACAGGUGGGUGGGUAGAACAUACCGAGGCGAUCGGGUCAACCAUGGUCAAGGAACUCGGCACAAUGGCCCCGUAACCUAGGGAGAAGGGGUGCCCGCGCGUACGUGAACGGACUUGCUCCGGGAGCGGAGGCGGGCCGCAGUGAAGAGGCCCAAGCGACUGUUUACCAAAAACACAGGACUCUGCAGAAGCCGCAAGGCGACGUAUAGGGUCUGACGCCUGCCCGGUGCCGGAAGGUCACGGGGAGGGGUUAGCGCGAGCGAAGCCCCGAACCCAAGCCCCGGUAAACGGCGGCCGUAACUAUAACGGUCCUAAGGUAGCGAAAUUCCUUGUCGGGUAAGUUCCGACCUGCACGAAAGGCGCAACGACUUGGGCGCUGUCUCGACCGUGGACCCGGUGAAAUUGCACUGGUCGUGAAGAUGCGACCUACCCGCGGGAGGACGGAAAGACCCCGUGAACCUUCACUGCAGCUUGGCAUUGGCCGCUGCUCGGGAGUGUAGAGGAUAGGCGGGAGGCUGCGAUGCCGGGGCGCCAGCCCCGGCGGAGCCGACCUUGGAAUACCGCCCUCUCCCGUGCGGCGUCCUAACCCCCGGCCGUGAGCCGGCGGGGGGACCGUGCCAGGCGGGCAGUUUGACUGGGGCGGUCGCCUCCCAAAGGGUAACGGAGGCGCGCGAAGGUCCGCUCGGGACGGUCGGCAACCGUCCUUUUGAAUGCAAGAGUACAAGCGGGCUUGACUGCGAGACCCACGAGUCGAGCAGGUGCGAAAGCAGGCUCUAGUGAUCCGGCGGCUCCGCGUGGGCGGGCCGUCGCUCAACGGAUAAAAGGUACUCCGGGGAUAACAGGCUGAUCUUGCCCAAGAGUCCACAUCGACGGCAAGGUUUGGCACCUCGAUGUCGGCUCAUCGCAUCCUGGGGCUGGAGCAGGUCCCAAGGGUACGGCUGUUCGCCGUUUAAAGCGGUACGCGAGCUGGGUUCAGAACGUCGUGAGACAGUUCGGUCCCUAUCCCCCGCGGGCGCAGGAGAAUCGAGGGAGGCUGCCCCUAGUACGAGAGGACCGGGGUGGACGGACCUCCGGUGCACCGGUUGUCGACCAACGGCAUGGCCGGGUAGCCGCGUCCGGCGCGGAUAACCGCUGAAGGCAUCUAAGCGGGAAGCCGUUCCCGAGAUCAGUUCUCCUUCCGGUAAGGGCCGGGGUAGAACACCCCGUCGACAGGCCGCAGGUGCAAGGGUCGCGAGGCCCUCAGCCGAGCGGUGCUGAUCGCCCGAGCUCUUCCCCCACGCACGCCG
rnacentral:rRNA from 1 species